CGCCGGGGAUUCGCUGGUUGCCCGCUGCGACGUCAGCGGCCGAGCAGCUCCUCGGCUAGGUCGAGCGCGAAAGGGAGUCGUUAGCGCUCAUACUCGCUGGAACCGGUUGGGGUGAGGGUAGUGGAAGGGGCGGGACUAUAAAGCGCUGGGCGGCGAUUGGGGGAAAGGGACGGUUUAAAAAACCGCGGGGGCCCCCGCCAUUGGCCGCGGGGGGCUGUGCGCGUUUUGAUUGGGCGGAGCGGGAUGCUGUAGCGUGGUUUAAAAAUACAAAGGGAGCGAGGAGGGCAGCGGCGGGGGCGGAAUAAGAGGAGCUGCGUGGAAGGGACGGGUGGCGGUGGCCGUGGCCGGGUGGGGCGAGCCCUCCGCCGCGGCCCCGGUCGCGGCCUAGCCGCUGGAGAGCGUGGGGCCCCCCCCUCGGCCUUACCUUCUUCCUGCGCGGAGGGGGCGGCCGGAGGCGGGCCGCGGCGGUGAGCGCCACCAUCCCUCCCUCACCUUCCCUUCCCACUCGGGGUGGGGGCGGCGGCCCCACGGCGCCCCGAAGCCCACGAGCAGCCGCCGCCCGCUGUGAAACCGGGCUGUAACCGCGGUUGCGCCGCUCCGCUCCGCCGCGGGGCCGGGCUGCGCAGCGGCUCUGCCCCCCCCCCCCCCUCCCCGAGCCGGCCCGCCCCGCCCCGCGUGGGGUUACCCCCGCGGGAGGAAAACCCGGCAGCGAAACCGCGCCGGAGGUGCAACGCCUGUGGUUUGGGUCCCUGCGUUCCGGUGAACAGCCGGCCGUGAGUCCGGCCCGCUCGGUUUGGGGAUAAAACCGAAGUUCCCGUACAGUCAUUUAGCCUUUUUUGAUUUAAGAGAAAGGCUUGGGCUGUGUCUGGCCCCGGAGGUGUGACAUCCAGCGAGCAGAUCCGGAGAGGCUGUAACCACUGUCCAUCUCCCUAAUGAUCCAAGGGCCAGUGCGAGGCUAGCCCGCGGGGGCUCACUGCUGCCAAAAUGAAGAAAGAGAAAGAAAAGGGUGAGUUGACAAGGCCAUGUGCCACGGGCCCCGAGAGGAAGGAGGAAUCCUGUGCUCCUGUCUCCCACAGCCAGAAGAGAGAAGCAGGUUAGGCUGGUUAACAGCCUGGUUCUGCAUAAGCACUGUGAUACUCAUCAACACGUUGGCCUUGGGUCCAGUUAAGGGUUUACUGUCAAGUAACCAGCAAAAACCAACUGCAGUUCCAAACUAUCAUCAUACUGGAGUUUGUUGGAGUAUAAGCCUGUAUCUUUUACCCAGAAUGAACUCUGCGGGAUGUCAGGAAAAUAUUUAAACCCCAAACCCACAUGUAAUUUUACUCAUUUUAUUUUUAUAAAAAUACCUGUAUCUGUAUUGGACUCUCUCUUGUUUUUACUGACGGAAUCCAGAUACCUUCUAAAGACCUAAAUGAUGGACUCAGGUGGAAGAAGUGUUCACCUGUCCCCAAGGGGCACUUAAAACCUGCUGUUAACUUCAACAAGAGCUAAGUCAGACCUAGAGGUGCUUGUAACUGCGCUGCAAAGACAAGGGCACUGGAAGAGACUUCAGGGCUACAGAAGUUUCCCAUUUUCCUUUCUGUAAAACAAAUCCAUAUCAGAGGAGGAUGUGAUGGCAUAAAGGAGCAUGGUAGUUUCUAGGACCCCAGACAAACCUGUGAAGAUGGUAUAAUGCGCAUGAUUCAAAGCACAAAGCAAAUGAUUAAAGACAGCGUCAAAUCAAUUUCUGUAAGCAGAAAACAGUGGUUCACAAAAUGAAAGGCUGUAGCAGAGUGUAGGGUGCUUUUUGUGGUAUAGAGUGCAUUAGAGACCAGCAAAAUUUGCUAAGAAGAUAUGAGAGUUUCUCUUAUAGACAAGAGGAAAAAAAAAAAAAAAAAAAAAAAGCUGAGCAAGCUUUUUAUUUCUUUUCAGGGGAUUAAAAAAUAACUCUUAGGCAAUAUACUACAUCAGUCUAUUAUUCAUAGCUAAGUUUUUAUUCUAUUAUUACACAAAACCUCUGGGGGUUUUCCGCUUUACUUUCCACUAUACAUUCCAGACAGUUGCAUUACAUUCCAGAAAAGCACUAGCGGUGAUUACGUUGGGUCUCUUUCUGAUUGUGAGAUCUCAUAUGCUGUGAAACAAAAUGCUAAUCAAAACAACCUGGAUGGACAAGUGAUCAGCGACCCUGGAACAAGCAGAUGGAUGUGCGCUUUUAACUGGGUGGAACGGGGGCUUGUGAGGAGGAGGGGGGGUGAAGCCUGGGGGGUACCUGUUGUGUUUGAGGCAUCUCCCUGGUCUCACACUUCAUUGUUUAAGUCCCUCAACAAACAACUUGUCACGUACAUUCAACAAAGAACAUCUAAAGUUUCUGUACCAAUGUUACGGUAUUUUUGCACGUAAGAAGGAAGCCUUCUAACAGAAGGCCUUUUGAUGCCUCCUGUAACUAAUGGCUUAUUGCGAAAGGGAAUUGGCACAAACUGUCAAGGGGCAUGUAUUACAAAUCUUUAAAGCUUUUACAGCACACAGGCUUACCAAUUUUAAUACCCUGACACCUAGAUUAUUCUUCAAAUAUAAUGUUUAGUGUUGGACCCCAUUUACUGCUUUAAAUCUUUUAAUAAAAGCCUGUGUUACAUAAAUUGUUUCAUACACCUUUAGUUUGUACAAGGCAGAAUGCUUAAAAAAAGGAACACUGGCUUCAGCUGGAUUACUCAAAGACCUGGAAUUACCAGUUUUGUACCCAUAUCAGUUUUGGUUAAAGGUAUGAUUUUUUUUCUCUUACUAUAUUACUUGUAUACAAUAAGCUCUAUGUGUGCUAAUACAGAGUAGGUUUUUAUUUAUUAUAUUUAUUAAUUACCUGAAAUUACAGUUUGACUAUCCUAGUGUGAAACAUAUAAAGAAGUAAAAAAAAAAAAAAAAAAGAAAAAUACAGUCUGUAGGUAAAUCCCAGUAUUCCUGUGCUUUUGGGUCUAUAAGAGAUUUGGACAGUAAAUUGGAGGCAGAGCAACAGGCAGUAGCACAGUUAGUUGUUACUAGAGUGGGAAGGGAAAAUCAGAAAAAAAGAGAGGACGAUAAGAAUAGGACUUGUUUCUGAUAAGGAGGGAGAGAUUUGGUCACUGUUCUUUAUCAUGGCCUGCGAAUGCUUAUCUGGUAGGUGCUUCUUUUAUCAAAAACACCAGGGUGUGUGGUGGAAUUUGCGGAAUUUUUAAAGUGUUUUAAAUGAAUCUAAUUUUUGUUGAAACGGUUACAAUCCAAAAUAAAGAAAAUGUGUCUUUGCUGUGAAAAAUGUA